rfam:Oryctolagus cuniculus chromosome 13, whole genome shotgun sequence.
CAAAAGGCUCUUUUUAGAGCCACCACAGUGUCAAGCGGAGGGCUG